GCACGGGGGGCCUACGGGAGGCAGCAGUGGGGAAUAUUGCACAAUGGGGGAAACCCUGAUGCAGCCAUGCCGCGUGUGUGAAGAAGGCCUUCGGGUUGUAAAGCACUUUCAGCGAGGAGGAAAGGUUAGUCGUUAAUACCGGCUAGCUGUGACGUUACUCGCAGAAGAAGCACCGGCUAACUCCGUGCCAGCAGCCGCGGUAAUACGGAGGGUGCGAGCGUUAAUCGGAAUUACUGGGCGUAAAGCGUACGCAGGCGGCCAUUUAAGUCAGAUGUGAAAGCCCCGGGCUCAACCUGGGAACUGCAUUUGAAACUGGAUGGCUAGAGUGCGACAGAGGGUGGUAGAAUUUCAGGUGUAGCGGUGAAAUGCGUAGAGAUCUGAAGGAAUACCAAUGGCGAAGGCAGCCACCUGGGUCGACACUGACGCUCAUGUACGAAAGCGUGGGUAGCAAACAGGAUUAGAUACCCUGGUAGUCCACGCCGUAAACGAUGUCUACUAGCAGUUUGGAGCUUAAGCUCUGUCUUGCGCAGCUAACGCAUUAAGUAGA
rnacentral:rRNA from 1 species